AGAGUUUGAUCCUGGCUCAGAGCGAACGCUGGCGGCGUGCUUAACACAUGCAAGUCGAGUGCGCGUCUGUAGCAAUACAGAUGGCGCACGGCGCACGGGUGCGUAACACGUGGGUAAUCUGCCCUUCGAAGGGGAAUAACUCGCCGAAAGGCGAGCUAAUUCCGCGUAACAUUCCUUGGACUUUGGUUUGAGGAUUCAAAGGCGUAAGUCGUCGGAGGAGGAGCCCGCGCACGAUUAGCUAGUUGGUGGGGUAAUGGCCCACCAAGGCUAUGAUCGUUAGCUGGUCUGAGAGGAUGGCCAGCCACACUGGAACUGAGACACGGUCCAGACUCCUACGGGAGGCAGCAGUGGGGAAUCUUGCACAAUGGGCGAAAGCCUGAUGCAGCGACGCCGCGUGGGGGAUGAAGCUUCUCGGAGUGUAAACCCCUUUCGACCCGGACGAAUGCCCCGCAAGGGGACUGACGGUACGGGUAUAAGAAGCCCCGGCUAACUACGUGCCAGCAGCCGCGGUAAGACGUAGGGGGCCAGCGUUGCUCGGAAUUACUGGGUGUAAAGGGUUCGUAGGCGGUGUGGCAAGUCGGGAGUGAAAUCUCUGGGCUCAACCCAGAGUCUGCUUCCGAAACUGCUGUGCUUGAGUGUGGGAGAGGCGCGUGGAAUUGCAGGUGUAGCGGUGAAAUGCGUAGAUAUCUGCAGGAACACCCGUGGCGAAAGCGGCGCGCUGGACCACUACUGACGCUGAGGAACGAAAGCUAGGGGAGCAAACAGGAUUAGAUACCCCCGUAGUCC
rnacentral:rRNA from 1 species